rnacentral:rRNA from 1 species
CCUACGGGAGGCAGCAGUGGGGAAUAUUGCGCAAUGGGCGAAAGCCUGACGCAGCGACGCCGCGUGAGGGAUGAAGGUCUUCGGAUCGUAAACCUCUGUUAGCAGGGAAGAACGGUCACUGUGCUAAUCAGUAGUGAAUUGACGGUACCUGCAAAGGAAGCACCGGCUAACUCUGUGCCAGCAGCCGCGGUAAUACGGAGGGUGCGAGCGUUAAUCGGAAUUAUUGGGCGUAAAGCGAUCGUAGGCGGUAUGUCAAGUCAAGGGUGAAAUCCCCGCGCUCAACGGGGGAACUGCCUUUGAUACUGGCAAACUAGAGUGUGAUAGAGGAAAGUGGAAUUCCAGGUGUAGGGGUGAAAUGCGUAGAUAUCUGGAAGAACAUCAAUGGCGAAGGCAACUUACUGGCACAUAACUGACGCUGAGGAGCGAAAGCGUGGGUAGCAAACAGGAUUAGAUACCCCAGUAGUC